AUGAAUACCAUUGAUGGUUCAUGCCCUACAGGUGAGGCCAUGCCUCAAGAAGUGGAUUCAAGGAGGGAGAAGUUGGGAAGAAUCCUGCAAGCAAGAGCACCCUCCCCACCUCCCCUGUUCUCUCCCUAUGCCUAUCCUUCCACCCCAUCCAUCAGAUGGGUAGAGGGGUCUCCCCAGGAUGAAUGUGGAGGGACGGCAGGGCCAGCAGGAGAGGUCCCUGGGCAGAGCUGGCCCCUGGUUGGAGCCCAGCAUCUCCAAACUGUAGCCCAGAGAAGGAGGCACAUCAGGACCCAGGAAGAACCCCUCAGAGCUGGAGUUGACUUGACCAACUUUCCCCGAGAUGAGAUGGACUCCGGAGAGGAUGGUGAGAUGGGAGGUCAGAGGGGCCUGCAGGGGGCAUCUUUUUUUCAUCAUGGAUAGGCACACAGAACCAGGACCGGAGGCAGUGGAAGGGCCUCGGGUCACUGCCUGUCACUGACCUGAAGGACAGGCCAACUCAGAUCUCCCUGGAAGCUGGCUCUCCUGUUCUGACUGGAGACUGAGACCCCAACUAGGAUGUGAGCAGAGACAUUCUGGCCAGGAACACUGGGGAGCAGACUGUGAGAGGUACUUGUCAUCUCAGCCUUAUCUGGACACAUUUGUGUUCCUUCCCAGCAGGCACCCCAUUCCCAGGCACUGGUUGUUCUCCCCCAGGGCCUGCUAGGAUGACCCCCAAUGCACUAGCCAGGCAUCCACCCAUCCCACCUUCCAGGGACACAGGGGUCGGGUCCCCACACCUCAACAGGUGAAGCCCAUUCUUCACCAGCUGCCAGCACGGAGCCAGCCUCCUUCCCGGGAAACCAUCUGCUCAGCUCAGGUUGCCUGAAAUGGGUACCAGCAUCUGAACAAACAGUCCUGAGUGAGGCGGGGCUGGGGGUGGUGUUGCAAGAGGUAGGGCCCCUGCCCCUAGCCCUGCUCUGGAGGGAAUUCGCACGAGUUCUCACAGCUGCCGCUGUCCCAGUCCUGCCUGAUGACUGCAUAGACUUCCCACUCCUCAGCCCCAUGGCUGCCACUGCCUGCCCACUGGAGCUCUCCCCGGCCCUCCCCAGGCCACCCGUCUUCUUGUCCUGGCACAUGAGUGGCCUCUGCUUCCCUCCAGGAAGAGUCCUCCCAUGGCUCCCAUCCCUGUCACCACACCAGUCAAGCUGGGCUGUCCUUCUCAGUGUCCACCACUGCCCUAAUGCCAAGGGCAGGCUGGCACACAGUGGGUAAUCAGAAAGCAUUGCUGCCUGUGGCCGUGACUGUGGAGUGAGUGCUCCCAGGGAUGUGGCCUGUUUAGUUUGGACCAGCUGUUCUUCCUGCUCCUCAGUCGACGUGAAGGCCUGACCCAGACUUAGAGCUGGGCAGGCUCCUGCCUGGGGGCUGCCCAUGUAAGACCCAUACUCAGGCCAGCUGACUCUGCCCCUGCCCACUUGGGGAAAGAAGGGACUGGCACGGCCCCUCCCCCAUACCCCUCUGCUGGCAUUGGCAUUCAGAGGAGGGGUGGGGGGGGCCCUGCCACCCGGGAGGAACAGCCUCUCUGGGCCUCAGAGCUCUCAUCUGGGAAAUGGUGCCCCAUCUAUGGGGUGCAGGGUUGCUGUGGACCUAGGAUCUGGGCACUCUGUGCCUGGCACCCCUCAGAAGGCUUUGGACCCUACCUUGCCUGCUGCCUAGGGGUCGGGGCAGGGAGCAAGUGACCUUCGUGCAUCUUUUUCCACGAGAGACUGUCAGCGAUCUCUGUCUCUAGGUGGGGGACUUCCAGACAGCACAGAGGCGGGACCUGUGGGGUCCUGGGUACCCGUAGGACGGCACAGGGCUCCCCAAGGACCCGUGGGUACACAGGGGUCCCUAGCAAGCCUGAUGGCCUAUUUGCUAUGUGAUCUCAGGCCGGGGUUGGGGAGGAGUGUGAGGUGUGGCCCCUCCUGCUGGGUACUCCAAAAAGCAGUAAGUGCCUCCCCCAAGGUUCAUUUUCCAUUUCCUGUAGGUCGG
rnacentral:lncRNA from 1 species